rnacentral:misc_RNA from 1 species
UGGGCUUGAACUACUCGUGGUAAGCCGGUGGAAACAUUGGCUGACCCGCAAGGGAGCGAGCAGAGGUGCUGCAUGGUUGUCGUCAGCUCGUGUCGUGAGAUGUUGGGUUAAGUCCCGCAACGAGCGCAACCCCUAUCUCAUGUUGCUAAUCCCGCAAGGGAUGCACUCUUGAGAAACUGCCUUCGAUAAGAAGGAGGAAGGUGGGGAUGACGUGUCGUUACCUUA